AAAUGAAAAUGGUAUUGAAAGGUAGAAUUAUAUAUUAUAUAUUACUUUAAUAUAAAACGGCCUAAAAUAGUUUUUGAGAAUAUAGAUAGAAUAGAUCCAGAUACUUUUGAGAGUUGUAUUAUAAAUUAUUUUCUAAUUAAUUUGGUCAGAUUUUAUACGAUUUUAUGGAUAUUUGAUCAAACAUCAAAUAAGAUGAGAAAGUUUACUAUUUACUGACAAAUUAGAAUUGUUAUAGAAUAUAUAUUAUAUAAAUUAAAUGGAUAUAUCUAAUGCAUAAAUCUUAUGGAAAGUUCGUAAAGAUAUUUUUAAUAUUUGAAAAUAAAGUUGGGAGAAUCUUUUCAACGAAUUCCUCUUCAUAAAGAAUUAAAUAAUUUUCAUAACGAUUUUAUCGAUUCUAUAUAAAUCGAGAUUGACCUCUUACCUUUCGAUUUAAUUUUUAAUUAUAAUUAUUGUGAUGUAAU